UACGUAGGGCGCAAGCGUUGUCCGGAAUUAUUGGGCGUAAAGAGCUCGUAGGCGGUCUGUCGCGUCUGCCGUGAAAACCCGAGGCUUAACCUCGGGCUGGCGGUGGAUACGGGCAGACUAGAGGUAGGUAGGGGAGAAUGGAAUUCCCGGUGUAGCGGUGAAAUGCGCAGAUAUCGGGAGGAACACCGGUGGCGAAGGCGGCGACCUGGGUAGAUACUGACGCUGAGGCGCGAAAGCGUGGGGAGCAAACAGG
rnacentral:rRNA from 1 species